AUUGGUCAUGUCGAAGAUAGCGUCCUUGCCUAUUUUUUGGAGUACCUUCUGUUUCCUCGGCAGGCUUGCCUGCCACUGGGGACCCUUUAAACUCUUUGUAAAUACAGUAUCUGUCUGAAAAAACAAACAAAAAUCAAAACUUUCAACAAUGGAUCUCUUGGUUCUGGCAUCGAUGAAGAACGCAGCAAAAUGCGAUAAGUAGUGUGAAUUGCAGAAUUCAGUGAAUCAUCGAAUCUUUGAACGCACAUUGCGCCCUUUGGUAUUCCUUAGGGCAUGCCUGUUCGAGCGUCAUUUUCACCUUCAAGCACAGCUUGGUGUUGGGCGUCUGUCCCCCGCGGACUCGCCUCGAAACUAUUGGCAGCCACUCCAGCGGCUUUGAGCGCAGCAGAAUUGCGUCUCUUGCGGCGAGGGGGGGCAUCCAUAAGCAUAUUUUUUAUUUUGACCUCGGAUCAGGUAGGGAUACCCGCUGAACUUAAGCAUAUCAAUAAGCGGAGGAAAAGAAACCAACAGGGAUUGCCCUAGUAACGGCGAGUGAAGCGGCAACAGCUCAAAUUUGAAAUCUGGCUCCUUUGGGGGUCCGAGUUGUAAUUUGUAGAGGGUGCUUUGGCGUUGGCUGUGGUCUAAGUUCCUUGGAACAGGACGUCGCAGAGGGUGAGAAUCCCGUAUGUGGCCGCCAGUCUUCGCCGUGUAAAGCCCCUUCGACGAGUCGAGUUGUUUGGGAAUGCAGCUCUAAAUGGGAGGUAAAUUUCUUCUAAAGCUAAAUAUUGGCCAGAGACCGAUAGCGCACAAGUAGAGUGAUCGAAAGAUGAAAAGCACUUUGGAAAGAGAGUCAAAAAGCACGUGAAAUUGUUGAAAGGGAAGCGCUUGCAGCCAGACUUGCUUGUAGUUGCUUAGCCUGGCUUUUGCCUGGUGUACUCUUCUACAUGCAGGCCAGCAUCAGUCCGGGCGGUUGGAUAAAGGCCUAUUAAACGUACCUCUCCUCGGGGAGGACUUAUAGGGUAGGUGCCAUGCAACCAGCCUGGAUUGAGGUCCGCGCAUCUGCUAGGAUGCUGGCGUAAUGGCUGUAAGCGGCCCGUCUUGAAACACGGACCAAGGAGUCUAACAUCUAUGCGAGUGUUUGGGUGUCAAGCCCGAGCGCGUAAUGAAAGUGAACGGAGGUGGGAACCUUUCGGGGUGCACCAUCGACCGAUCCUGAUGUCUUCGGAAGGAUUUGAGUAAGAGCAUAGCUGUUGGGACCCGAAAGAUGGUGAACUAUGCCUGAAUAGGGUGAAGCCAGAGGAAACUCUGGUGGAGGCUCGCAGCGGUUCUGACGUGCAAAUCGAUCGUCAAAUUUGGGCAUAGGGGCGAAAGACUAAAUCGAACCAUUCUAUUUCGGC
rnacentral:rRNA from 1 species